rnacentral:rRNA from 1 species
AGCACAGGUUUACCUGUGUGACUGCGUACCUUUUGUAUAAUGGGUCAGCGACUUAUAUUCUGUAGCAAGGUUAACCGUAUAGGGGAGCCGUAGGGAAACCGAGUCUUAACCGGGCGUUAAGUUGCAGGGUAUAGACCCGAAACCCGGUGAUCUAGCCAUGGGCAGGUUGAAGGUUGGGUAACACUAACUGGAGGACCGAACCGACUAAUGUUGAAAAAUUAGCGGAUGACCUGUGGCUGGGGGUGAAAGGCCAAUCAAACCGGGAGAUAGCUGGUUCUCCCCGAAAGCUAUUUAGGUAGCGCCUCGUGAAUUCAUCUCCGGGGGUAGAGCACUGUUUCGGCUAGGGGGCCAUCCCGGCUUACCAACCCGAUGCAAACUGCGAAUACCGGAGAAUGUUAUCACGGGAGACACACGGCGGGUGCUAACGUCCGUCGUGAAGAGGGAAACAACCCAGACCGCCAGCUAAGGUCCCAAAGUCAUGGUUAAGUGGGAAACGAUGUGGGAAGGCCCAGACAGCCAGGAUGUUGGCUUAGAAGCAGCCAUCAUUUAAAGAAAGCGUAAUAGCUCACUGGUCGAGUCGGCCUGCGCGGAAGAUGUAACGGGGCUAAACCAU